rnacentral:lncRNA from 1 species
GGAGAACUGUGUCUGCAGUGUUAUUGAUCAGCGGAUCCAUUUGUUUCUCAAAUGCUGUUUGGUUCUUGGUGUGCAGCGGUCUCUAUUAGACCUUCCUGGAGGCCUUACUCUCAUUGAAGCAGAACUGGCAGAACUGGGCCAAAAGUUUGUCAACUUGACACAUCACAAUCAGCAGGUGUUUGGUCCCUACUACACUGAGAUCCUAAAAACCCUCAUUUCCCCAGCCCAGGCACUGGAAACAAAAGUGGAGUCUGUUUGAUAGCGUCGGCUCAGAGCCCUGGUACCUUGGACCCAAGAGGAGGCCCAUCAUCUUCCUGGAGUAACAUCACCAGUGACCAGCAGACAGUGAGCUUCUAUCCCAGGCCCUGCAGCCAGUACACCAAGGCUGUAGGGAUCAAGCAUGUAAACACCAACUGGUCCAUACCCAUUCAUUAAUAAACUUCUUAAGUGCAAG